rnacentral:rRNA from 1 species
GACGAACGCUGGCGGCGUGCUUAACACAUGCAAGUCGAACGGAAAGGCCCUGCUUUUGUGGGGUGCUCGAGUGGCGAACGGGUGAGUAACACGUGAGUAACCUGCCCUUGACUUUGGGAUAACUUCAGGAAACUGGGGCUAUUACCGGGUAGGAGCUCCUGCUGCAUGGUGUGGGUUGGAAAGUUUCGGCGGUUCGGGAUGGACUCGCGGCUUAUCAGCUUGUUGGUGGGGUAGUGGCUUACCAAGGCUUUGACGGGUAGCCGGCCUGAGAGGGUGACCGGCCACAUUGGGACUGAGAUACGGCCCAGACUCCUACGGGAGGCAGCAGUGGGAAAUAUUACACAAUGGGAGGAAGCCUGAUGCAGCAACGCCGCGUGCGGGAUAACGGCCUUCGGGUUGUAAACCGCUUUCGCCUGUGACGAAGCGUGAGUGACGGUAAUGGGUAAAGAAGCACCGGCUAACUACGUG